rnacentral:rRNA from 1 species
UACGAAGGGGGCUAGCGUUGUUCGGAAUCACUGGGCGUAAAGCGCACGUAGGCGGAUAUGUCAGUCAGGGGUGAAAUCCCGGGGCUCAACCUCGGAACUGCCCUUGAUACAGCAUAUCUUGAGUCCGAUAGAGGUGGGUGGAAUUCCUAGUGUAGAGGUGAAAUUCGUAGAUAUUAGGAAGAACACCGGUGGCGAAGGCGGCCCACUGGAUCGGUACUGACGCUGAGGUGCGAAAGCGUGGGGAGCAAACAGG